CAGUAGCCGCGGUAAUACGAAGGGUGCAAGCGUUAAUCGGAAUUACUGGGCGUAAAGCGUGCGUAGGCGGUUUGUUAAGUCUGUUGUGAAAUCCCCGGGCUCAACCUGGGAAUGGCAAUGGAUACUGGCAAGCUAGAGUGUGUCAGAGGAUAGUGGAAUUUCCGGUGUAGCGGUGAAAUGCGUAGAGAUCGGGAGGAACAUCAGUGGCGAAGGCGGCCAUCUGGGACAACACUGACGCUGAGGCACGAAAGCGUGGGAAGCAAACAGGAUUAGAUACCCCCGUAGUCCCUGUCUCUUAUAC
rnacentral:rRNA from 1 species